rnacentral:piRNA from 1 species
UUGAAUCUGAUUCAGGCUGUU